UGGACCCUCAAAAGCCCUUUAAA
rnacentral:tRNA from 1 species